UUGCUUUUUGAAAUGCCUUCAUUCGGGCUUUUCCCUUCUAAUAAAAAUUCCAAGCAAAACGCGGGAUUGGAUUUAUCAGGGCAAGAAUCCCAAUUCUCUUUCUCCCAAUGCCUUCCAAGAAUCUCCUUCUUUGCACAAGAACCCUAGCUUCCAUUGCCAAUUCCACCACCUCCUCCUCGAUCGCCAUCUUCUGGGACCUCGACAACAAGCCCCCCAACUCCAUCCCUCCCUACGACGCCGCCGUUCGCCUGAAGCUCGCUGCUGCCUCCUUUGGAACCCUCAAGUUCGCCGUCGCUUACGCCAAUGCUCACGCUUUCCGCCAUGUCCCCGCCCCUAUCCGUGCCCAGCGCCAGGAUCGCCGGACCCUAGAUCGCCUCGAGAACGCCGGCGUAUACACCCCCUCGGAACCCUACGUCUGCCGCGUUUGCGGCCGUAACUUCUACAACCACACCAAGUUCAUUAACCACUUCAAGCAGCUCCAUGAACGGGAGCAGGGGAAGCGGCUGCGCCGCCUGGAGUCCGCCAAGGGUAGCAAGAGGGUCAUGCUGGCUGCCAAGCUCUCGAUGAAGAUGGAGAAGUAUCGGAGGGCAGAGAGGGACGUUCUGGUUCCCAAAAUUGGGUAUGGUCUCGCCGAUGAGCUGCGGCGAGCUGGGGUGUUGGUACGGACGGUUGAUGAUAGGCCGGAAGCCGCGGAUAGAGCGAUUAGAGAGCAUAUGGUGGAUACAAUGGAUAGACGAAGGGUUGGGUGCUUGAUGCUUGUUUCGGAUGAUGCUGGUUUUGCAGGGGUUCUGAGAGAGGCGAGGAUGAGGUGCUUGAAGACAGUGGUGGUGGGGGAUGAGGGCGAUGGGGUGCUUAAGAGAUGCGCUGAUGCUGCAUUUUCUUGGAAGGAAGUGUCUUCAGGAAAGGCAAGGAAGGAGGCCUCAUCAGUGGUUGAGAAAUGGAGAGACAGGGAACUAUUGAAGAGGUUGGAGUGGAGGUAUAGGCCGGAGGAAACAGAGGAGGUGGAAUGUGGUGAUCUUGAAGAAGGACUUAGUGAUGGAGAUGAUGAAGAUGGAGGAGACAUUGGUUUGCAUUGCCAGGUGGAAACACCUUAAUCAAUUGAGCACUAAUUAGCUGGGCCAUGGAAUGCUGCCAUCUUUGAUGAGCUUAAUAAGUGGAUGGAUAGCCUAAUCUUAUUCAGCCUGCAGGGAUCUCACUCUAGCCUUUGGUUCAAUCAACUAAUGUUCGAGCAUGGAAAACAAAAAAGAAUCAAGAAACAGUCUUGAAACCUGAGGACACCCCACAAAUUCUGAGACACCAGCCAGCGAGCAGU